rnacentral:rRNA from 1 species
CGACCUGCAGGCGGCCGCACUAGUGAUUCGACUAAGCCAUGCAAGUCAUAUGUUCUUCGUGAACAUGGCGUACUGCUCAGUAACACGUGGAUAACCUGCCCUUGGGACCGGGAUAACCCCGGGAAACUGGGGAUAAUACCGGAUAACGCAUAUCUGCUGGAAUGCUUUAUGCGUAAAAUGGAUUUGUCUGCCCAAGGAUGGGUCUGCGGCCUAUCAGGUAGUAGUGGGUGUAAUGUACCUACUAGCCUACGACGGGUACGGGUUGUGAGAGCAAGAGCCCGGAGAUGGAUUCUGAGACAUGAAUCCAGGCCCUACGGGGCGCAGCAGGCGCGAAAACUUUACAAUGCGGGAAACCGUGAUAAGGGGACACCGAGUGCCAGCAUCAUAUGUUGGCUGUCCAGAUGUGUAAAAUACAUCUGUUAGCAAGGGCCGGGCAAGACCGGUGCCAGCCGCCGCGGUAACACCGGCGGCCCGAGUGGUGAUCGUGAUUAUUGGGUCUAAAGGGUCCGUAGCCGGUUUGGUCAGUCCUCCGGGAAAUCUGACGGCUCAACCGUUAGGCUUUCGGUGGAUACUGCCAGACUUGGAACCGGGAGAGGUAAGAGGUACUACAGGGGUAGGAGUGAAAUCUUGUAAUCCCUGUGAGACCACCUGUGGCGAAGGCGUCUUACCAGAACGGGUUCGACGGUGAGGGACGAAAGCUGGGGGCACGAACCGGAUUAGAUACCCGGGUAGUCCCAGCCGUAAACGAUGCUCGCUAGGUGUCAGGCAUGGCGCGACCGUGUCUGGUGCCGCAGGGAAGCCGUGAAGCGAGCCACCUGGGAAGUACGGCCGCAAGGCUGAAACUUAAAGGAAUUGGCGGGGGAGCAAAUCCCGCGGCCA